CGCGCGUGUGUGUAUGUGUGUGUGUGUGUGUGUGUGGAACGAUCAAGCGGAAUGUGACCUCCACCUUAUGCCUCCGCGGCCGCUUGUCGGACUUUUGAGAAGUCAAACGCACAAACACACGUACACACACACACACACACACACACA